UUUAUGGAGAGUUUGAUCCUGGCUCAGGAUGAACGCUGGCGGCGUGCCUAAUACAUGCAAGUCGAGCGAACGGACGAGAAGCUUGCUUCUCUGAUGUUAGCGGCGGACGGGUGAGUAACACGUGGAUAACCUACCUAUAAGACUGGGAUAACUUCGGGAAACCGGAGCUAAUACCGGAUAAUAUUUUGAACCGCAUGGUUCAAAAGUGAAAGACGGUCUUGCUGUCACUUAUAGAUGGAUCCGCGCUGCAUUAGCUAGUUGGUAAGGUAACGGCUUACCAAGGCAACGAUGCAUAGCCGACCUGAGAGGGUGAUCGGCCACACUGGAACUGAGACACGGUCCAGACUCCUACGGGAGGCAGCAGUAGGGAAUCUUCCGCAAUGGGCGAAAGCCUGACGGAGCAACGCCGCGUGAGUGAUGAAGGUCUUCGGAUCGUAAAACUCUGUUAUUAGGGAAGAACAUAUGUGUAAGUAACUGUGCACAUCUUGACGGUACCUAAUCAGAAAGCCACGGCUAACUACGUGCCAGCAGCCGCGGUAAUACGUAGGUGGCAAGCGUUAUCCGGAAUUAUUGGGCGUAAAGCGCGCGUAGGCGGUUUUUUAAGUCUGAUGUGAAAGCCCACGGCUCAACCGUGGAGGGUCAUUGGAAACUGGAAAACUUGAGUGCAGAAGAGGAAAGUGGAAUUCCAUGUGUAGCGGUGAAAUGCGCAGAGAUAUGGAGGAACACCAGUGGCGAAGGCGACUUUCUGGUCUGUAACUGACGCUGAUGUGCGAAAGCGUGGGGAUCAAACAGGAUUAGAUACCCUGGUAGUCCACGCCGUAAACGAUGAGUGCUAAGUGUUAGGGGGUUUCCGCCCCUUAGUGCUGCAGCUAACGCAUUAAGCACUCCGCCUGGGGAGUACGACCGCAAGGUUGAAACUCAAAGGAAUUGACGGGGACCCGCACAAGCGGUGG
rnacentral:rRNA from 1 species